rnacentral:rRNA from 1 species
CGGCGGACGGGUGAGUAACGCGUGGGCAACCUGCCUUACACAGGGGGAUAACAGUUAGAAAUGACUGCUAAUACCGCAUAAGACCACAAAACCGCAUGGUUUGGUGGUAAAAACUCCGGUGGUGUAAGAUGGGCCCGCGUCUGAUUAGGUAGUUGGUGGGGUAACGGCCUACCAAGCCGACGAUCAGUAGCCGACCUGAGAGGGUGACCGGCCACAUUGGGACUGAGACACGGCCCAGACUCCUACGGGAGGCAGCAG